rnacentral:lncRNA from 1 species
ACAUUUUUAUUACAGCGAUGUCUUUGUACUUUGUGUUUUGGUCGGAUCUCAGAGUUUGUGCAUAGCACACUUGGUUCUACUGUUUGUUUGUCCCUUCAUAGACAUUUCGAUAAACUGUUAUUUUUGUUCUUUGGAAGUGAAUAUUUUCAGCAACUAGAACUCCGAAGCAUCUGGAGUGAUCCAUUUUGUCAUUCUCAAUACCUAUAAAAGAAUGUCAUAGAAAACAGUUUCCAAAGCAAGUUGCAUGUGUUUUGAAUUUGUCUUUGCAAGCCACUAAUUGCUUGGAGCGCACUGUUAGCCAGUCGUGGUUCCAUCCACUUUUUUGGAUAGACAAUUGUGCAUCCAUAUGAUCUGGACUAAACUAGUUUCUAAUAAAUAAUUGCCCAGGGUUUUAGUCUCAGUGUUACAGCCCAGUCUUUGUUGUCAAUACUCUUUCCCCUGUCGUGGAUGAGCGACAUAACAGCUUCUUAAUGUUUUGCAGUGGCUUUUGCACGGUUGUUGUUUCCUUCUGAAGCUAGAGUAGCUACGGAUAGAGCGGAUGCAGAUGCCACCAAUUUUUAUACUGGCCUUUCAGCAUCAAAAUCAAAAGGAUCAAGUGGGAACUUAAAGGAGGUUGAUUUGAAUGAAACACCCUCUAUGCAAGCCAAGAGACUCCAAUUAAGAUUGCAAGCUCUGCUUAAAACAAGUAUUCAUAUACCUUAUUAGUUUUUGUACCUUUACAAUUUGUGAUUUUUGUAUCAAAAGAGAGAGGUUAAUUUUUAGUACAUUGAUAUCUCGACAAACUGUUAGAACCUUUGCACCACUAGAGACAUUUUCUUAGAGCAUUUACUGAACCUUCUAUGAUUGCAGUGGAGACAGGUCGACGCUACUUCCCUCGUUGCUCAGAAGUGGUUGAUAAAUUUUAGGAUUGUGAUUGGGCCGAUGCUUCCCUCCUAGAAAAAGGGUACUCCUGAAGAGCAGAGACUCAAAAGGGCACGCUUCAUGGAACUUAAAGAAGACAUGAAGAAGGCAUUUUACAAGGACAUGGCUGAGAAAAAAUGGCUCAGGUUUGUAGUCAUCCUCGUCAUCGUCAUCUUCUCCGAAGGACGGAGUAAAGUGUAAGGGUAGGAAAAUGUGAUGCUUAGCUGCAUGUCUUUGUUAUUCAUUUAUUGGCAACUAAAAGAGUUUUAGUGAGUUGGCUUGUUACUUGUAGAGAGAUACUCUUAGAGCCUAUGUUAUGGCUAUGUUGUAUAAUAGCAGAGGAACUUCAAGCUUGUGUUGUUGUAUUUUCCCUGGUAUUUGGCAUGUAAUGCACUAAAUGACAAAGAAUUUUCUAAUUUUAGAGGGGAAUGUUAUGUCAGUUAAUUAUUUAUUUAUUUUGUCUGUUUAAUUCAGUUUACAUAGCUUUUUUUUUUUCUCCAAAAAAAUCUUCAUAUCUCCAUCUGCAAUUUAAGUCAUUUGUAACUUCUUUCAGGGAGGAAGGAAAAGGGAAAAAAAAGAAGCAUUUGUAAGUAUAUUUACAGUACUGAUUUUCCUACAGAAAUUGGUUAAGGUGACAUUAAUGUUCUUAGUAACAGAUGGAUAUGCAGAAUUUUCGUUGAAAUUGAAAUUAGAAAUGGAUGGAUAUGAAUGACAUAUAUUCAGAAUUUUUUAGUAGAAUGUUUAAACAAAAUUUUUUAGCUCAUUACUCUCUAGAAGGAAAAUAAAUUUUUUAUUGUAAAUAUUAAAUAUUAAAUUUAUAAUAUAAUAAAUGUGUGACUUAAGGUGCACAAUACCUAUAUAAUAAUAAUAAUUAGGACAAGAAAAAUCAAAUUUUGUAAAUUACCAAAUUUCCCUUGGAAUUUGAUAUUCUAUAUCAACGUAGGUGUUGCAUCCACUGGGUUAGUACAACUAAAAGAAACUAACUAAAGUAAAACAAAAUAUCAGAAAAAUAUGGCGAGCUUCUCAUUUUUUUUUAAGUGAAAAAAAAAGAAAACUGAAAUUAAUUAUUUUUAUACCCAAAUUCUCAUGCUCGAAGGCCGCUGGAAUUGGUCAUUGUAAUUUUGUCAUCCUCGUUAUUCACUGGCCAUCGUAGCCUUCCUCCCUUAGAAUGAGAGUCGUUUUUUGGACCACGACAUAAUAAAAAUAGUAUUGAUUAAUACUAAUAAAUUUCUUUUUGAUUAUUUUGCAGUGUAAUAGUCUAGUGCGUGCCAGUGCCCAUCAGAUCACUUGAACAUGUGGUAAAAUUCUGCGAGUCUUUGUAAAAUAAUUUUUAAAUUGUGUAUUAACCAAAUAGCUCAAUGAAGACUAUCGACUCAUUAUUUUAUUUUGUAUAUAUUUAUGAUAAUUGUUGAAAAGAAAAUUGUAAAGUGAGAUUAAUGAACAUUUAUGAAUGUGGAAAUUAACACAACCAGAAUUUAUGAUGAAAUAAUUUUAAGUCAAACGAAUGUAAGUUUGUAUAUAUAUUUUUUGAAUUGUCAUAUAUAUACAAGUUUGUCACUAACAGUAAAUUAAAUUAUGAAUAUUUUAAUAAUUCAAAAUCUCAUUUAACCAUCAGCGUUUAUAGGGUGCGUUUGGCACAUUGUAUUGUAUUAUAUUGUAUUAUAUUAUUUUAAUGCAUGUGUAUUAUAUUAUAUUGUAUUACAUUAACAUUGUAUUAUAAUAAUACUAUACAAUGUUUGGUACUACAUUGUAUUAAUUUUUAAUAAAUAUAUAAUAUUACACUGUAUUAUAUUAAUUUUUUAAUAAGUACUUUAAAUUAUAUAUUUAGAAAAUAACAUUUAUUAGUCGUUAAAAAAUACUAAAUAUAAAAUUCUUAAAUUUUAGAAAUUUAAUAUUAUCUUUCUGGUAUAAACGUUGAAAAAAAAAAUCAUAAUUCUUCGUAAAAAUCGAAAUAAAUAAUUCAAUCAAAUAACCUUCAAAUAAUAUUAUAACAUAAAUAAAUAAUUAAAAUGUACAAGAUUAAGUUAAAAAUCAUUUUAAGAUAAUAAAAUAAAAAUUUAUACAUAGUAUAAAAUAAUAUAGUAACUGUAGUAUAAUAACUAACAAAAUAGACUGUACUAAAUAAUUUAAGUAAUACAACAAUAUUUACAAGUACCGUUUUUGCUAUCUUUCUCUUUUAAAGGCCCCUUUUUUGUUUUAUUCUUAGAACUUCAUAGUUCUUUUGUUUUUUCUUUUUCUUUUUCUUUUUCUUUGCCCCUUUUUUGUUUUCUUCAUAUUUCUUUUGGCUUCAUAAGUUUCUUUUAACUGAGUUAAUAGUGUUGUUAGGUUAAACUAAGUUUGGCUUCAUAAACUUAAAUCUCGUUAAGUUUUCCUUCGAAUAGCUCUCUCUCUUUUAGAGAGGCUUGAAUGGAAAAAUAUUAAGGGGUCGUAAGGACUCAGGUGGUCACUCCUAGUGAGUGGAAAGUAAUCUAAACCAGCAAGCUGUUGGGAUUGAUGUGCUGGUGGAGAAAGUUUCGAAGAGCCAAAGGUAGUGUAAAGCGUUGGGGUACGAGUCAAAGCAAGCAAGUUGAAAGAACUCACUAUCGGCUCUAGCGUUAUUUGCCAUGGACACUGAAGAGCUAAUUCGCAAGUGUCAAGCAAUAAAUAUUAGAGAGGAAGACAAAGCCAAAAUAACACUGGAGGUGAAUCUGGAAAAAAAGAAAGAACUAAUGAUGGCAGGCUGCUUAGUGGGUAAAGUAAUGCUCGCGAAGGGAGUAAAUAAAGAGGGUCUCAAGGCUGCGUUACAGCAGGUGUGGAGGACUUUCAAAGAAGUCAAAAUCGAAAGCGUGGGAAACAACAUCUUCAUGUUUAAAUUUGCUGAGGAAGCAGACAAGAAAAGAGUGUUAAAAUGGGGACCAUGGCACUUCGACAGGGCAUUGAUUGUACUCGCUGAGCCAAGGGGGAUUGGGGAAGUCGCAAAACAAUCCUUUACUCAUACAUCCUUUUGGGUGCAGAUUCGUAAUGUUCCACUAGCGUGUAUGGAUAAAGAUUUUCUCCGGGAGCUGGGUGAGAAGCUAGGAUCAGUUGAAGAGGUCCAAACUGAUGAUAAUGGAGAUUGUAUUGGGGAAUAUGCCAGAAUAAGAGUUUCAAUUAAUAUAACACUGCCGCUAGAGAGGAUUCUAUUUCUAAAGCGAGAAGGUGAAACUGAUAUCCCAAUGCCAGUGGUCUAUGAACGUUUGCCGGAUUUUUGUUAUUGCUGCGGCAUCAUAGGACAUCAAUACAAAGAGUGUGGCAAAUACCAAGACCAACCAAGAGAAGAUUUACCAUAUGGGAGCUGGAUGAAAGCGAUUACGGUAGGGGGCUUCACAAAGAGGAAUCAGAACCAGGGAAGGUGGAACUAUGGGGCUGGAAAAUCGGAUGAAAAAUCAGCAAGCUCAGAAAAUCACAGCUUCCAGCAACAGCAAGGGCAAAACAAAGAAAACCCGAUAGAGGCAAACGGGUCGGUACAAAAUGAGAAGGAAAUGGGGCAAACCAUGGAGCAUGCUAAGAAUGAUGUGAUAGGAGGAGUAGCUGAGCAACAAUUAAUGCAAGGAGUGUCACAGUCAGCGGACAAAAAACAAACUGACGGCCACAAGCAAGCUAAGAAAAGUGGCAAUGCAACAGUCCCAAGGAAAAUGGGCACACAAGCGGGAAAUGGUAUCCUAAACGAGGGGGAAAAAAUGCAAAUAAGUCAUGAAAAGGAAGCUGGAAAAAAUGAUGGGCCGGAAGUCUCUCAGCUACAGCCCAAUAAGAGAAAGUGGAAGAGAUUACUUAGAGAGCUAAGUGAAGGGGGGGAAGAAAUGGAGGUACAAACUCGGAAAAGGCCAAGGGGGAAAAAACUCGGGCAAAGCCCAAGGAAAAAAACAAAACUCUCCAACUCAAACCAGCUCGAGACAAAAAAUCUGAUGCAUGUUUCUUCAACAGCAAGUCUUCAGCUGGGGUGGGAACCGCUGAUGCUGGAAGAGGUGGUAGUUAUGGAAGCAAACAACAUGGAGAUAUCGGCGGAGGCUGGUGGCCAGCCCCGCCGAAAACCAUGAAUAUCCUCAGCUGGAAUGUUCGGGGUUUGGGGAAUCCCCGAGCAUUUCAAGCCUUAAGAAAAAUCCUCCAGUUGCAUGGUGCUCAGCUGGUGUUCUUGUGUGAAACAAAGGUAUCAACCAUGCAAAUGAAUGUAAUUGCAAGUAAGCUGAGCUUCGAGAAUUGCCUUGCGGUAAACGGUAAUGGAAGAGGAGGCGGAAUAGCAAUGCUCUGGAAGUCAGAUAUUGAGGUGCAAAUCAAAUCAUACAGCCAGCACCACAUUGAUGCCGAAACUCAAAUGCCAAAUGGGAAUCAAAUGCGAAUUACAGGAGUGUAUGGGCAUCCGGAAAUAAGCCAGAAAAAGCACACUUGGACGCUCCUCAGACGGCUGGCGGUUUUAUCUUCUAGUCCUUGGUUGUGUUGUGGAGAUUUUAACGAAAUUUUACAUCCAAAUGAGAAGAGGGGCGGCAAUGAUAGAAAUGUGAAUUUAAUUAAUGAGUUUAGAGAAGUCUUGAGAGAUUGUGGCUUAAAGGAUGUCGGGUUUCGGGGGUAUGCUUUUACUUGGAAUAAUGGAAGAUAUGGGGAGGGUUUUGUGGAAGAAAGGUUGGACAGAUUUGUUUGCUCUAAAGCUUGGAGUGAUAGAUUUGUGGACUGUGCAGCAAGUAAUCUGGACUCCUGGACUUCGGAUCAUUGUCCCGUGCUGAUGGUUGUUCAAGAGAGAAGGGAGGGUAUGAUCCAAAGGGGUAGACAUUCCUCGCGAAUCCAUUAUGAGGAUAUGUGGAGUUCGUAUGACGGAUGCAAAGAGAUAAUUAAGGAGGAAUGGGGGCUGUAUAGAAACUGGAGCAGUGAAAAUUCAGCCCAAUCCUUUCGACAAGCAACAAAAACUUCGAUGGGUAGGCUGCUGGGGUGGAGCAAGAGGGAAUUUAGAAAGCGUGACAGAAAAUUAGAGAAGCUGAAGGUUCAGCUGAGGGAGUUAAAACAAAGAAGGGUGCAAUUUGUAGAUGGUGAGGAAAUUCGGAAGGUGGAGAAGCAAAUUCAAAAUAUUCUUAUGGAUGAAGAAAUCUACUGGAAGCAACGUUCAAGAGCAGAUUGGCUCAAGGAGGGGGACAAAAACACAAAAUUUUUUCACGGCAAAGCGACGGCAAGAAGGAAAAAAAACAGAAUUUGGGGGAUUGAAGAUAAUUUUGGGAAAUGGAUUGAGGAGCCAAUCAAAGUAGAGCAUGAGUUUUGCAACUAUUUCACCAAGCUUUUUACAUCAACCCAGCCGAGACAAGAUCAAAUUGCAGCAGCUUUGGAAGGAAUAACUCCAAGAGUUUCAGCCAGUAUGAAUGAGAGUCUGGGGGCACCUUUUACAGCCGAGGAAGUGUUGGAAGCGCUGAGCCAAAUGUGCCCAACAAAGGCUCCGGGGCCGGAUGGUUUGCCAGCCGUGUUUUACCAAAAGCAUUGGCAUUCGGUCAAGGAGGGAGUGCUCACCACUUGUCUGCAUAUCCUUAAUUCACAAGGUACCAUCGGCCCUCUAAACCACACUUACAUUGCUUUGAUACCAAAAAUCGGAAAGCCUAGGAAAGUGACAGAUUUUAGGCCUAUUAGUUUGUGCAAUGUCAGCUAUAGAAUUGUUGCUAAAACAGUUGCUAAUAGAUUUAAGCAAGUUUUGCACAAAAUCAUCUCUCCAUCGCAAAGUGCAUUCAUUCCCAAUAGGCUGAUCACUGACAAUAUAAUAGUUGGCUAUGAAUGUUUGCACAAAAUUAGGCAUUGUAAAAGCAAGCGAAAUGGAUUAAUUGCCUUAAAGCUUGAUGUUAGUAAAGCUUAUGAUAGAUUGGAAUGGAAUUUCUUAGAGCAAACUUUAGAAAAAUUAGGCUUCUCGCAGCAAUGGAUUAGCUUGAUUAUGAGGUGCAUUAGUUCGGUUUCAUUUUCAGUGUUAAUAAAUGGUGCAGUGAAAGGCUUAAUUAAACCUCAAAGGGGCUUACGUCAAGGAUGCCCCCUCUCCCCAUAUUUGUUUAUUACAUGUGCAGAGGCCUUUUCAUCUUUGCUGCAGCAAGCUGAGCAACAACAACUCAUUCAUGGGUUAUCUUUUGGAAGCAAUCUGAAGAUUUCGCACCUCCUUUUUGCCGAUGACAGCCUGGUCUUCAGCAGAGCCUCCAUGGCCGACUGUCACAACUUGAAGAUGAUCCUUGAGUGUUACUCCACAGCUUCGGGCCAAAUUUUUAACUUCGAGAAAUCUUCCCUUUUUAUCAGUGGCAAUGUACAGCAAGAUCAAACUGAGGCUCUUGGGAAUCUAUUUCAGCUCAAUAUUGUGUCGAGACAUGAGAAAUAUCUAGGCUUGCCAUCGAUGAUUGGGAGAAAGAGAAGCAGUUUUUUCAAUGACAUCAAGCUGAAGGUUGCUAAUAAGAUCUCAAGCUGGCAGCAUAAAUUCUUUUCUUGCGGAGGGAAAGAAGUCUUAAUCAAAGCGGCUGUUCAAGCUAUCCCAGCCUACGCAAUGAGCGUCUUUAAAAUUCCAGGGGGUGUUUGUGAUGAUAUUCAAAAGAUGGUGGCAAAGUUUUGGUGGGGCUCCAAGAGGGAAGGGCGGAGUAUUCACUGGGCGCAGUGGGAAAAACUGAGCCAAGCCAAGUGUUUGGGAGGGAUGGGAUUUCGUGACUUCUCAAGUUUUAACCGAGCUCUUCUAGCAAAGCAAGGCUGGAGGAUUCAGCAAUGUCCAGAUUCGCUGGUGGCAAGGGUCCUGCAAGCUAGAUAUUUCCAGUCAACCAAUUUCUUGGCUGCUAAACUCGGCUCAAACCCCUCAUAUAUUUGGAGAAGUCUUCUGUGGGGGAGGAAAAUUAUUUGCGCGGGCUCUAGGUGGAGAGUUGGUAAUGGUCAGAAAAUUCAUGUUCAUAAGGCUAAUUGGAUCCCACGGGCUUCAACUUUCCAGCCAAUAGUUAAGCCAUCUCUGCCCCCUGAUGCUAUGGUCUCGGAAUUAAUCACUGAGGCAAACUGUUGGGAUGAAAAGAGGAUUUAUGAGCAUUUUGACCAUAUGGAUGCUGAUUUAAUUGCUAAGAUUCCCCUGCCUCGAAGUCCAAGGGAGGAUGAGCUGAUUUGGCAUUAUGGAAAAAAUGGCCAAUUCUCGGUUAGAAGUGGAUACCAGACAGCUCUCCAAAUGAAAUUUCCAGCCAUGGCUUCAAGCUCAGUGGUUUCCAAAAAUGAGUGGAAUAUUAUUUGGUCCCUUGCUUUGCCUCAAAAGAUCAGAAUCUUUGCUUGGAGAGCAGCCAAAAACCAACUCCCAUCAGCUGAGAAUCUGUGGAGGAAAAAAAUAAUCCAGAAUCCCAUGUGCCAAGUCUGUAAAAUAGGAACAAAAAAUGUCUUUCAUGCUCUAGUAGCCUGCAAAUCGGCUGAGAAGGUGUGGAAGCUAAUCCAUUUUGAUGAUGACAUUCGUGCAGCUCACAGUCAAGACAUUCUAAGCAUACUGCAUGCUAUGAAAAGGAUGAGAAACAGAGACGACCUGGAGCUGUUGGUAACAAUUUUCUGGGUUAAAUGGAAUGCUAGAAAUCAGAUGAUCUUCAAAGGGAAAAGGGAAACCCCCCAGAUCAUGGUAGCUAAAGCUGAAGCCUUGAUUGCUGCUUAUAAGAGGGUGCAUUCUCCAGAUGAGGCCUGCAGUGAAACAGAGCAGAAAGCACCUCCCCAGAAAUGGAACCCCCCUCAAGCUGGUUUUGUAAAAGUAAACACUGAUGCAGCCAUUUGCUUUGAAAAGAACAUUGUAGGGCUGGGGGUAGUAAUAAAAAAUGUUUUGGGGCAUGUUACAGCAGUUGCUAUCAAGGUUGCUAAGUUUCAUGGAGAUGUUUCUUAUGCGGAAGCAGAAGCCAUGGAAUGGGGUAUGUUAGUGGCGAGAGAGGCCAACAUGAAAGCUGUCAUCAUGGAAUCAGAUUCUCAAGGUGUGGUCAAUUUAGUUAACAACAAGCAGGGCAGCAGAUCAGAGAUCUAUUGGGUUGUGUCAGAAAUUCAGAAUCUAGCGGAAAGUUUCGAUCGUGUUAGCUUUAAAUACACGCCUAGAUCUUGUAAUGUUAUUGCCCACUCUUUAGCUAAACUAGCUUUAGAGAAGUGCGAGAAUGUUGUGUGGAAAGGGUCAUACCCUUCACAAGUGAUGUAUCUCUUUUCUUCUUUAGUUUAAUGGAAAUCUCUUUUCAAAAAAAAAAAAAAAAAAGUUUGGCUUCAUAAGCUUCAUAGUAGAGUGUAGAAUUAGGUACAAUUUUGGAUUAGACAAGUCAAAGGUCUUAUCAAGUAAUUGUUCUGCUUACUGAUUUGGUAAUUGCAACAUUGCUAAAUUGUUCAAUUUGUCCUUUUUAUUUUGUUGAAUUUAUUGUAUGUCAUAUUACUUGAUUUAAUUAUUUUCUCAGAUCUUGUAGGUGAAAAUUUCAGCUUCAAAGACCAAAGCUAAUCAAUCAUCCAGCAAUUCAGUGAAGAAACCAAGACACAGUGGCUCAUAAAUUGUUGUUGGUGAUUGAUCCCAGCCAUUCGGGUGCUCGCCAGUCCUAGAUUAGAAAACUUUCAACGCGGCGCAUAAAUUGCUGUUGAUCUGCUUUAUAUAUUUUGACGUUUGUGAUUUGUGAAUACAUGGUCUGAUUCCAGUGUUUACAACUUUGAAAUUCAAUUAAAAGUUGAGCUGUGAAAGAGUGUGUUGUAUAACUUGAGAAGCAAAUGAAACAAACAGAAAAUGUGUUUUUAUUUUUUUAAUCUAUCUAUGUAACAAUUUAUAGCUGGCAAAGUAAUAGAGUUGUAUACUUGUAUUUAAUUAUUUAUUAUUAUUAUUAUUAUUAUUUUUUUGUAUCCAUGGUGUUUUGUCAUUUCGAAAGUACUUGACCCUUUCACGCUAAGGCACACUCCAGCAGCCGAAACUUUGAGCUUUCAGUUCUUGAUUUUAGCGUGAGGGGUAUCUUUGUCUUUUCAGUAGUCAACACACGGUCAACAAAACAGUCUACAAACAAUCGACCUGUGAACUUGGGUCAAAGCUUUCAUCUUUAAAUCACAUAGGUAGAUCAUGAUUCAAGCUUCAGUUAUAAGCCUUUCAUUGUGAUUGAUAGUAUUCUUUCUUUGAUAUAUAUAUAUAUAUAUAUAUAUAUAGAUUCAUGGUUCUUGAUGGUAUCAUGGAAAAUGCGAACGAAAAGUCAGCAUCUUUGAGUUUUGACUCAUCUUAUCAAACUUGUUGGUCCACUAAUCAAUCAACAGGCACUUGUGAUCUUGAUUAUUUCAACUUAAGGAUGCAAAGCAGCAAUGCCAAAGAGACAUGGCAUGACGCUGAGAUUGUUGUUGAGGGCAAAUCAGUGGCGGUUAAUCGCAGCAUAUUGUCUGAGCGCAGUCAAUUUUUUCGUCGGCUUUUUAAUUUGAGAAAUGAUGGUUCUGUCAGUGAGGAGAAACCCAAGUAUCUUAUGACUGAUUUGGUGCCUCAUGGGAAGGUUGGAUAUGAAGCUUUCAAUGAUAUCCUGCUUUAUAUUUACACUGGGAAGACAAAGGCAUCUCCUCCAGAAGCGUCCACGUGUGUUGAUGACGCUUGUACUCAUGGUGCUUGCCCUCCUGCUAUUAAUUAUGUUAUUGAGUUGAUGUAUGCUUCUGCUGCUUUUCAGAUGACACAUCUCGUUUCGGUUUAUGAGGUAGUUGCGCUUCCCCGCUAUUUGCAUUGCUUAAAUUUAUGCUUGUUGGUAUAGUUUUAACAUAUAUGGAAUUGAAAUCAAUUUCGGUUGUGAAGCAACUUCGGUGGUUCCCAAUAUUAGGCAUUGUAGUAGAUCCAAAAUUAGCUUGUUGAGAAGUGUAGAUACUGUAGAGCCCAAAACUUCGUCUUAUCUUGCAAGAGUCUGUUGUUUUAUUUUGAAAGAGACAAAAGUGAUGAUGAUGGGCAGCGAACUCUAGGAAUCAAUGCUUGCUGACACUGACCCCCAAGAAUCAAUGAGUCUGAAUUUGAUAAGUGCACCUAUCCUAUCACAAAAGCUUUUGCGUUGAGUUUCUAACCAAUUUUCAUUUGUGUAGGUGUCAGUUCAUGCUCUGGCUUGACUGUUCUGUUAUUUAGGUUGUUUUAUCCGUAUUUUCUUCACUCACUUGAUGGUUAGUUCUCUCAUGCUUUCAAGCUCUCAACAGUGAAUGCGGGAGAUUCUAUUUUUCCCGUCCAGUCUAUAACCUAGCAAAUCAUUAAUGCUGUAGAAUAACAUCUUGUGUAGCCGAGUUUAUGUCUCUGAACAUUGGUCCAUCGGCAUUUAGGAUCAAUAUUAUUUUUCCCCCUCAUUAUUAUUUUCCUCCACAGAUUAUCCCCUUUGAGUAUUUGAAUUUUGAAUAUAUUAUUCUGAAUCAAAACUCUAUCUGUCCGUGUAGCAUUUUUUAUAUGCUUUACGAUGUUUACCAAUAAUUACCCACUAUGGGGUAUUUGAAUUUUGAAUAUAUUAUUCUGAAUCAAAACUCUAUCUGUCCGUGCAGCAUUGGCUUCUGAACUUGGCUGAGGAUGCGCGUGUGGAAGAUGUAAUCCCAAUUCUCGUGGCUGCCUUCCAUUGCCAACAGAACAUGCUCUGUUCUUACUGCAUCCAGAGAAUUGCAGGAUCAAAUCUUGACAAUGUUUGUCUCGAGAAAGAGCUUCCUGAUGAAGUUUCAAGAGAAAUCAAAUCACUCCGUGUCAAAUCUAACCAGGAGUCUGAAGCUAAUAUAGCAGAAGUGGAUCCUAUGCAUGCAAAAAUAGUCAGAAGAAUCCAUAAGGCGCUGGACUCUGAUGACUUUGAACUGUUGAAGCUUCUUCUGGAUGUAUCUAAUGUCACUCUGGAUGAUGCUUAUGCUCUGCACUAUGCUGCUGCCUACUGCAACCCUAAGGUUUUUAAGGAAGUGCUCAAUAUGGACUUGGCUGGUCUCAAUCUUAAGAAUGCAAGAGGUCGUACGGUGCUUCAUGUGGCUGCAAGGCGUAAUGAGCCAGAAGUGAUGGUGACUCUGCUGAGCAAGGGAGCAUGCGCAUCAGAAACUACAUCAGAUGGGCAAACAGCUGUAGCAAUCUGUCGGAGAAUGACAAGGCGAAAGGAUUAUAUUGAAGCUUCAAAGCAGGGGCAGGAAACUAACAAAGACCGGUUAUGCAUUGACGUCCUUGAGAGAGAGAUGAGAAGGAACUCCAUGUCUGAGAACUUGGCAAUGUCAUCAGAGGUGAUGUAUGAUCAUUUCCAAGCGGAGCUGGACUAUCUAGAAAAUACAGGUGAUAUUUCUUUACUGGUAUUAGUUCAUCACCUUCUCAGAGUUUGUGCAUAGCACACUUCUUUCUACUGUUUGUUUGUCCCUUCAUAUGGAAAAUAGAGGUGAUAUUCCUUUACUGGUAUUAGUAAAUCAUCUUCUCAAGAGUUUGUGAGUCCCUUCAUUUUAGCAUCUCAAACACACAUGGGCUCAUUGCUUGGGGCACACUGUUGGCCAGUCAUGUGAUUUGAUCCCCUUUUUUGGAAUAGAGAAUUAUGAAUCCAUCUGAUCUAGGCUUGGUGGUUUGCACCGAAGUGGUUUUUGAUAAAUAAUUGUACAAGACUUUGUCAUCAAAAACUUUUUUUUUUGUUUUCCAAAAGUAAUGAGGUACAAAAAUAUUUAUGCCUAUCCUGGAUGAGUGCCAUAACAGCUUCUUAAUAUUUUGCAGUGGCUUUUGUACGGUUGUUUCCUUCUGAAGCUAGAGUAGCUAUGGAAAUAGCUGGUGCAGAUACCGCCACUGGCCUUUCAGCAUUAGGUCAGAAAGGACUAAGUGGGAACUUAAAGGAGAUUGAUUUGAAUGAAACGCCCUCUAUGCAAGCCAAGAGACGCCAAUUGAGACUGCUAACUCUGCUUAAAACAGGUAUUUAUAUACUUUAUUAACUUUUGCACCUUUCUAUUUACUGAUUAUCUUUAUAAUUAACUAAUACAUGUAUCCAGGUUUCUCCUUCCAUUUCAUUAGAAGUAAAUUGGAAUCUCUUUAUAGUGCUCUGUUAGGUGUAAUCAGAUGUAUCAAAAGAGAAAGAGUAAUUGUUAGUACAUUGAUAUCUCAACAAAAUGGUGGAACCUUUCUUUAUACCACUAAAGACAUUUGUUGCAGGAUGCCUACAGAAUCAGUGUGCUUUAAAACUUUCAAGGAGUUCGCAAUGCCUAACCCUUGAAACACUAAAUCUCACGGGAUCAACUCUUUACCUCUAGACCGAAGGUGUGACACCCAGACCCAAUUAGUGCUUAGAACACAUAUCGAAUCUGAGUGAAACUAAAUGCCUGUAAAUCCAAAUCUCCAAAAUAUCAAAAAGUCAUCUACUUUCUCUUUUCAUGUAUUUCACAAAAUUUUGAAAAAUUCAUUUUCAAUCAUAAACUAUGCACAGCUAAAUAUUCAGCAUAUCAGUAUAGAGCAAUACUUCCUCAUAAGCAAAUAAAUCUUACAAUCCUUCUUACAUGAUUUUAAAAAAAUACUAAUAGAAGUCUUCUAGAUACAAACAUAAACAGAAUUCAACUGUUUAAAACUAUGCCAAAACACAAGCUUCAAUCAGUAAUACAUACGACUAAUUAUUAAAAACAUCUAGGCAGAAACCUUACGAAAGCUCAAUCCUUCCGAAGCAUUCUUCAAAUUAAUAAUUGCUACCAUCUGUGAAAAAUAAUUGACAAGGAGUCAGCUGUGAAUUCAAUCAAUAGAAACAUUUGUAACGAACAAAAAUAAUUCUUUGCGCAAUAUUUUCAGAAAAUUCAUUUAACCUUUCAAAUGAAACAGAGUAAUUUUUCUAACGCAGUCAGGAUUUAUAUAAAACACAAACGUUUCAAACAGAAGCUGUGUGGAAUGUAAAUUUUGCUUCUUUAAACAGAAAGUUAUAUAUUAGUUUGAUUUUAAAGGGAGGUUAUUGGGAAGUUAAAAUUGGCAGUUGUGGGAAAAGGGUAAUAGCAGUUAUAAAAUCUCUUUUAAAGCAAAUUCAAAUCAAGUUUCAAAUUUUAGGAGUACUUAAUUCAAUAAAAUAAGGAAUAAAUAAAGCUUUCAUUGAAACAAAACUAAGUAAAUUCAUUUAAAGCAAAAAAGGAUGGGAGCAUUACUAUGGGUUCUUAUGUUUACCCGCAGUCAGGCAUCUGGGACCUUGUUAUUUGGAGACAAGACUUGAUUGUGCCAUGUUUUCCACAGCCAGAUAUAUUUUACUUCAUUAGUUCCUAGACAUCUGUGGAUAAGAGAACCCUAAGCAUAUUGAGAAUAAAUUCCGUAAUCCAAGACUCUUCAGUUCUUUCAUUUGUGGCUAAUUAGUUAUAAAAUUUGUGAAUUUCAUGCCCCAUGCUCCUUGCAAAAUGUAUUUUAUAUCCUUAAGAUGCCAGUGGAUGAACUGAAAUAAUAAAAAAUGGAAGACAGAUUUAAUGCCGACAACAUUUCUUAAGAAAAACUUGGGAUGUUUAUAAUUUUCUUAGAGCAUUUGCUGAACUUUCUGUGAUCGCAGUCGAGACGGGUCAACGCUACUUCCCUCAUUGCUCAGAAGUGGUUGAUCACUUUAUGGAUUGGCCCUAUGCUUCCACCCCAAAAAUGGACGACGAGAAACUUAAAGUAGACGUGCAGGAGGCAUUCUGCAAGGACGUGGCUUAUCACCGUCGUAUAGGGCUGCCAUCAUCCUGGCCGGCAUUUUACCAGUACAUGGCUGAGGGCAAUCAGUCGGCAUUUUACAAGUACGUGGCUGAGAGCAAUCGUUCAGGAAUGGCGACAUCCUCGGCAGCGAGCAAUUAAGCAUCACCUUUCCCUAAAAGUUAUAUUUGACACCUGGAAAACUAAAGGAGUUGAGUGAGCUCUGCUCGAUUGGUAUUUGUAGUUUCUUUUUUUUUUCCUCAAGUGAUCUGGCAUGUAUCAAUUAGUUUGUAAAGUUAAUUGUAUUGUCUCAAGUCCGGUGAGAUGCGCGAACGUAUAGCAUGGAUCACAAACUAAUUGUAUUGUCUCAAGUGAUCACAAAAAGAAUUGUAUUACAAUUGGUAUGAGGCAUGCAUGUGUGUGUCAUAUCAGUUGCUGAACAAACUUUGCCUUUUAGUUUUGUAGGCACUACCAUCUCAAAUUCUCUGUUAUCAUGAAUGAGUAUUUUUUUUUUCUUUUUUUUCUUUUUAACAAAUCAUAAAUGAGAUUAAGAUAAUCUUUUUUUUAAAAAAAAAAAAAAUAGAGAUUUCUUUUAUUUUUCCUUAAAAAACUGAAGAAAAAUUUAGAAGGUAGUGAGAGACGGAGAAUUAAAGAAAUUUUAUUCACAAAUGUAAUGUGUUUGGUGCAGCAAUACAAACUAAUAAAUUAUAAUUUAUGAGACUAGUUUGCAAAAUCUUAUAUAUAAAAUUAUAUCAUCUGAAUAAAAAUCUUCUCACCUCUUUUGACUUCUCAUUUAGAUGUCCUCUCUAGAAUCUCUCUGGCCAUAAACACAUUUUUACAAAACAAAACAGAAGAAAUUAUAUAUAAUUCUCACAAAGACUAUUUCAUUUGCACAUAGUACGCAAUUGGUCACUAAAGUUAUUUGAGGAGAAAAUUUACAUGAGAUGGGUACAUCCUAUUAUCAGUAUUGUAAUUUAAAUUUGAACAUACUAGAAUGGUCUCUCAUAAAUUUUUCUCCAAUUUGAGAGAUGGUGGGGAAGUGGGGUUAAAGUGCAUCUGCAUAGAAUUAAUUAUAAUUAUAUUUAUUUUUUAAAACUAUUUUAACUAGAAGUAGUAGUAAUUCUUUUUAUUAUUGUUAUUCCAAUUAUAUCAAAAUCUCGUGACUCGUGAUCAAAUUAAGUAGUUCAUUAAAUUUUUUUAGGUGACGUACGGUAUGGAGUUUUUAUAAAUCUAUAUAAAUAGUAAAAUAUUUAAUUUUGUUUGUCGUAAACUUUUAAUUUGCAUGGGUUAAAAAAGAAAAAAAGAAAUUGACUUAUUAAUUAAUUAACAAUUAUAGAAAGAAUAAAAAGCAAAUUAGAGUUGCGUGAGAAAACUCUCGUGAAAAGGGUUCCAGAUUUCCUUUCCCUGGCUUCGUGCGUUUCCUGUUUGCCCUUUCGAGCACAAUUCGAAUCCAAUACUUAAUAAUAAAGAUAUAAUAUUAAAAAAUACGAAAAAGAAUCCAAAUUUUUACUGGUAUAUAAGGCAGAGCCAGUUAGAAUUCACAAACCUUAAGCAUACAAUCUGUUUGGCUAGCAGGAAAGUGACGAAGGAAGAAAGAAAAAUAAACUGAAUAAGAGAAUUUUAUUAAUCUCGAAUCACACCCUUACAUUCAAGCUUUCAUCAACUUAUAUUGCUGAUUAACAGAAGUAACAACCUCUGUAACAGCUGUCAAAUAACUAUUGGUUAAGCUAAGCUAAACAAUAACAAUCUAACUAAUUUGUCCAGCUCAGCUAUCCAGCUCAUCAAUCCUAGUCAAGUGAAUCUCAGCCAUUGAUCUGCUGCUGUUGAUUAAGCAUCUCAACACCCCUUCUCAAGCUUAAUGGUCGUGGAACAACAUUAAGCUUGUCUCUAUAGUAAUUAAAAAAAGAGUAAGCCAUAGGCUUUGUAAGCACAUCUGCAAUAUUCCACUCACUUGGUACAUACUUGAUCUCCACUUGUUUGCCCGUUACCUUUUCCCUUAUGAAAUGCACAUCCAACUCUAUGUGCUUGGUUUUGGCAUGAUAUACUGGAUUUGUUGCUAGUGCAGCUGCACCAUUGUUGUCACACCAGAUUAUUGGUAUUUGGCUACACUUCAGUUUAAGCUCUCCAAGUAAAGCUUGAAUCCAAACAAUUUCUGCACAAGCUGUUGACAAUGCUCUAUACUCUGACUCUGUGCUAGACCUUGCUACAGUUUGUUGCUUCUUGGAGGACCAUGAAACCAGAUUCUGCCCAAGAUAUACACAAUAUGCUCCAACUGACUUUCUGUCAUCCACAUCACACGCCCAAUCUGCAUCUGUAUAUGCUGUCAGACUAAUUCCAUCUCCUGCUUUAAACAUCAAUCCAUAAUCUUCAGUUGCCUUUAAGUAUCUUAGAAUUUUCUUACAAGCAACCCAGUGUUUCUCAGUUGGUGCAGCAAGAAAUUGGCUCAACUUAUUAACUGAAAAGGCAAGUUCUGGUCUUGUAAGUACCAAAUACUGUAAAGCACCUAUUAUGCUUUUAUACUCAGUGACAUUAACAAUCAAGUUAUCAUCAUUCCCUGCUCUUCUUAGUUUCUGUCCUGUACUCAUUGGAGUAUCACUUUCUCUGCAAUUUUCCAUAUCAGUUCUUGUAAGCAAAUCUCUUACAUAUUUUGCCUGUGAAAGAUGUAAGCUACCCUUUGCAUCAUGUGUAACCUCAAUACCAAGGAAGUAACUGAACUCACCAAGAUCUUUUAAAGCAAAGGUAUCUCCAAGGUAUUGGAUAAAUGUUUCAAUUACUGUAUUGUUAUCACCAGUAAUUAAUAUAUCAUCUACAUAUACUAACACAGCCACAAUACCUCCAAGUUCAUGUUUGAUGAACAAAGAUGAGUCUGCUUUGGAGUUCUGAAACCCCCACUGCAACAGUGCUUUCCUUAGCCUGUCAAACCAGGCUCUGGGAGCCUGUUUCAAACCGUAAAGAGCCUUAUGCAACUGACAAACAUGACCAGAUGGAGACUGAACAAAACCCUCAGGUUGAAACAUGUAGACAUCUUCAUUGAGCUCUCCAUUAAGGAAAGCAUUGUUGAUGUCGAUUUGUCUUAUUUUCCAGCCCUUCAUCACAGCAAGACUAAGGAUAAUUCUCACAGUUGACUGUUUAACUACUGGACUAAAGGUCUCAAAGUAGUCAAUACCAGCUGUUUGAUGAAACCCUUUUGCCACCAGCCGUGCUUUAUACUUAGAAACAGAACCAUCUGCAUUAUACUUAAUGCGAAAAACCCAUUUACACCCAACAAUUUUAGUAGCUUGAGAAGGUGGUACAAGAAUCCAAGUCUUAUUUUCCAUAAGUGCAUUAUACUCUGCCUGCAUGGCUGCUUUCCAUUUGGAAUCUGAAAGAGCUUGAGAAACUGUGGCAGGCUCUUGUUCUCCAAGAACAGAGGAAUAGGCAUGAAAUUUUGGCUUAAAUACACCUGCUUUGGCUCUUGUAAUCAUUGGGUGAUUUGGCAGUGAAACUUGAGUAGAGGAUGGUUGUUGAUUUGAAGUAUUUUGGGAUACAUAAGGAGAGGUGUGGGAGGGUGGAUGAUUUGAUUGAGAUGGUUGAAAUGGUUGAGAAGAAGGUGAUAAAGAACUAGAUGAGGAGGAAGAAGCUGAAGCUGCAGACAACUGAAAUGGUUGUAUAAUGGUGUUACUUGAGCCUGAAGGGUCAUGAAGUGGAACUGACACUGAAGAUACCUUAAACAUAGGAUAUCUAUAUUCAGAAGCAGAGGAAGAAGGUUGUUUAGAGAAAAGAGAGUCAGUAGAGAAAGGAAAUUCUGACUCAUUAAACACAACAUGCCUAGCAACAUAUACAACACCUUUUGAGCUUAGGCAUUUAUACCCUUUGUGAUCUGAGCUAUAACCAAUAAACAAACAUUUUGUAGUGUGAUAGUUGAAUUUGUGUUUGUUAUAGAAUCUCAGGUAUGGAAAACAGGAGCAGCCAAAAAACUUUAGAAAAUCAUAGUCAGGCUUGUGUUUGAAAAGAAUCUCAUAGGGAGAUUUAUUUGAUGGUAGAACAGAAGUUGGCAAUCGAUUGAUAAGAAAAGCAGAAGUUGAGAAUGCUUCCCACCAGAAACUGAGAGGUAAUUUAGCUUGUGCAAGAAGAGUCAAACCCAUCUCAACAAGAUGUCUAUGUUUCCUCUCUACUGUCCCAUUCUGGUGAUGUGUGUGAGGACAUGGAUGUCUGAAUAAAAUGCCAUGUUUUUGAAGAUAAGGCACAAAGGAUCUGAAUUCACCCUCCCAAUCUGACUGUAGGACCUUAAUGACUGUUUCAAAUUGUUUUUCAACUUGAGUUCGAAAAAUGGCAAAAACAGAUAAAGCUUGAGACUUGGUUUUCAAAGGAUAAACCCAGGCAUAUCUACUAUAAUCAUCAAUGAAACUGAUAUAGUAUCUAUAACCAUUGAGAGAAGUAAUGGGUGCUGGACCCCAUAAGUCAGUAUGGAUGAGUUCUAGAGGUGAGGUUGUUUUGUGUUCAGUUGCUCCAAAAUGCAGUUUAUGAACUUUGCCAUAUUGGCAGGCAUCACAAAAAUCAGGAAUUUGAAUUUUAUUGCUUAACUGCAAAUGUUUACAACUGGUGAGUACUUGUUUCAAGACUUUUGAACUAGGAUGACCAAGUUGCCUAUGUAGGAUAUUUAUUGAAGCACUGGAAACUCUACUGGAAUGAGACAACAGACACUGUUGAGAGGAGUGCUGAACAACUUUAGCUUGAAUAUUUGAAAAAGAACAAGACUGCAAACCAUCUGAGCAAUGUGACACCAUAGACAUAGGAACAAAACAUGACUCUUUAUUUACAGUUGAAAAUAAAGCUUGAUGAGUUUUACUUCCAGGCUCAAGUUUCAGCUUAUACAGACCCUUCAUAGCUACACCCUCCAGCAAAACUGUCCUCUUCUUCUUGUCCUUGAGAAAGCAAGUAUUUCCACAAAAUUCAAUGAUCAAGGAAUUAUCAGAAGUAAGCUUAGAAAUGCUUAAAAGAUUUUUAGUGAUGUGUGGCACAAAUAAAAGAUUUUUGAGCAAUAAUCUAUGAUUUCCAACUGCUAAAUAAGUGCUUCCUAUAUGAGAAAUAGUAAGGCCAUGUCCAUUACCAAUUAAAAGCUUUUCAUUACCUUCAUAAGGCUCACUGAUGCUGAGAUUAUUGAGAUCAUUGGUUAGGUGGUGAGUUGCUCCACUAUCCAGGUACCAGUCAUCAUCCAUUACUGCUUCUGGUGUUGCCAUAUAAGCUGACAUAUUUCUUUGAUUGUAGCCUUGAUUAAAAACUUGAUUUUGAUGUGGAUACCUUGUGACUGGAAUGAAAUCCUUGUUGAACCUAUCCUUGCAGGUAGCAGCAGUGUGUCCUAUAAUGAAGCACACUUGGUAUCUAGGUUGAUAUGGCUGUGAAAAAUGACCAGGCACAUGACUAGGCAUUUGAGUUCUCCCACCUUGAUUCCAAGAUCUUCCUCCAUGCAUGUUAUUUCCUCUUCCACCUUUCCUUCCUCGAUAGAAAUUUCCACCUUGAUUCCCUCUAAAAUUUCCUUGCAUCAUGUAUCCAGAAUUUUCAGAUCUUGAUGCAUUUUGAUUGAAACUAGAUCUUGAGUUGUAUGUUCCAAAACCUUUCUUAUUAUUGUUCCCUUUCUUAACAAAAUUUGCAGCAAACGCCAUAUUUGCAUCCAUAGUUUCAGCUAAAGCUUGUUGUUCUAACAUUCCCUCAUGUGUCAUUAACAUAGAGAGUGAUUCUGAUAAAUCGAGAUCUAAUCCUCUUCCUGUGAUCAAAACUGCUACAGGAUUGAAUUCUGAACCAAUUCCUCCUAACACACUCAUCAUAAAGUCAUAGUCACUCAUUGGUGCUCCUGCUGCUGCCAUGUUAUCUGCUAUGCCUUUCAUUUUGUGAAAAUAGUCAUAAACACUCAAAUCGUUCUUCUUUGUCAACAUCAUUUGAUUCUUCAGUUGCAAUGCUCUGGUUUUGUUUUGUGAGCCAGAAAGUUUUUCCAGAGCUUUCCAAACUUCAAAGGAAGUUUUGUAUCCGAGAACAAUUCCGAGAACACUCUCAGUCAUGGAAGAGAGUAGCCAACCUAGCAACUGCUGAUCAGUUCGCUUCCACAUCACAAACUCAGAGUUCGGAAUCCUCUGAUCUGUGCAUGGUGCUGUGAUUGAACCAUCAAUAUAUCCUUCUAAUCCAUUUCCCUGAAUGGAUGCCAAUACUUGCAUUUUCCAGAUCAAAUAAUUUGAUCUGUCGAGCUUAAUUGGUGUAGGAAAGGUAUAGGAAACAGUUGUGGUUUGAUUUAAGCUUGAUGAUGCCAUCUGGCUCUGAUACCAAGUUAGAAUUCACAAACCUUAAGCAUACAAUCUGUUUGGCUAGCAGGAAAGUGACGAAGGAAGAAAGAAAAAUAAACUGAAUAAGAGAAUUUUAUUAAUCUCGAAUCACACCCUUACAUUCAAGCUUUCAUCAACUUAUAUUGCUGAUUAAUAGAAGUAACAACCUCUGUAACAGCUGUCAAAUAACUAUUGGUUAAGCUAAGCUAAACAAUAACAAUCUAACUAAUUUGUCCAGCUCAGCUAUCCAGCUCAUCAAUCCUGGUCAAGUGAAUCUCAGCCAUUGAUCUGCUGCUGUUGAUUAAGCAUCUCAAAAGAGCCAAAGCGAUAGCGAAACAUCAAAUUGUUUUUAUUUCAACCUUCGCGCAACUUCCGGUGACAUAAUUUUUCUCUGUUUCAGGUACAUACCCAACACUAAACUUUGCAUGUAUCAUUCUUGUACUUUUGUUAUUCUUUUCUUUUCUUUUCUUUUCUCUUUUGCUGUAAUUUUUUAUGAAGCACUCUGUUUCAGUUCUGUUUCUGGUUUUGUUUCGGUUUAAUAUUAUUGGUUCGGUUCUGUUCUGCUCUGUUCUACGUCGUAUGUAUAUAUGUAUAUAUUUUUGGCCUCGAAUUGCUUUCAUCACCGGUUUUGUUAUUCAUUUAUCGUGAAAUUUAGAUGACUUGUUCGGCCAUGUUAUAUUCAGCUACCAUCUUCAUGGUGGGUUUGUAAGAUAGUCUCUGACUAACACAUGGCAUUGAUUAUGAAUGAUGGUUUUGUGAGAUACAUCAUACAGACGUUAACUCGUGUUAAUUUGUACUUACAUCAUUCAAAAGAUUACUGUUUUUCUCUCUUUUUUUUUUAAAAAAAAAAAAAAUUGAAAUGCCCCUUUUCGCAUUUUAUAGAUGAAAGGAAGAAACAUAAUAUCGCAGAACUAGAAUAAAGGAGCCUAUUCUGGUACCUAUUGUCCGAGGAACCUUCUGUAUAUUCGGUAGGAACUACCAUGGGAAGUCAAAUCUUACCAGAGCCAGGCGGAGUCGUUGCUGAAGGAAUAUAUAUUAGCAGAUCCAUUUGUCCCGUACACUUCAAUUGUUGGUAGCAUUUUUGCUUGCACGAUGGUAUGUUUGUCAUCGUUACUGCGUGGUGGUAUAUACUAGAAAAUAUUUUGAAUGCAUAGUUUUUAUUUAAUUAGUUAUAAAUUUUAUACCCUCUGUUUUCCAUAAGAAUGUGUUCCUUUUCAGGUCUAUGAUCUUGCCCAAUUGAUUAGUGUGCUGUUCACUUUAAAUCUGAUUCCAGUUUCUCCAACAUACAGCGGGUCGAGUGGAGUUUAAUCAUUUUUCUUAAAUCGACAACUUAUGCAGGGCCAUAUCAACUGUCCAUGACAUUUUUAUUACAACAAUGUCUUUGUACUUUGUGUUUUGGUCGGAUCUCAGAGUUUGUGCAUAGCACACUUGGUUCUACUGUUUGUUUGUCCCUUCAUAGACAUUUUGAUAAACUGUUAUUUUUGUUCUUUGGAAGUGAAUAUUUUCAGCAACUAGAACUCCGAAGCAUCUGGAGUGAUCCAUUUUGUCAUUCUCAAUACCUAUAAAAGAAUGUCAUAGAAAACAGUUUCCAAAGCAAGUUGCAUGUGUUUUGAAUUUGUCUUUGCAAGCCACUAAUUGCUUGGAGCACACUGUUAACCUGUCGCGAUCCCAUCCACU